rnacentral:lncRNA from 1 species
AUUAGGAAUGGGGCAGAAGGUUUCCAAAAGGAAUUUGAAGAAUGAAGUCUCUGCAUUAUUCCAACAACCAGAUAGAUCAAACUCAGAUUCAUUGCAAGACUCAACGACAUCCGAUAAUGAGUACCGGGCACUGAGAAGGAAAUAUUUGCUGCUGGAAGAAGAAAGCUUUGCAUUAGGGAAGGAGUUGAGAGAGGUAGAAGAUGAAGUCAAGACUCUAGAAGAUGAGAAGCUUACCCUCUUGGACCAGCUUGUUGUGUUAGAAGGUCUGGUUGAUCCUUCAGAUAUGCAGUUCCAGGAGGGGCCUCAAUAUGCUUAAUUUCCACACACCCAUCAUUACAGGUUUUUGUGAUUGUACACCGUUAUCUAAUAUUUUUGGAUGCCCCUGCACUUUGAUCAAUAGAAGGAAAGUUAUUGUUUCAUUCGAGAUGUGUUUUCUUGUUGCUAGUGACUACCAAAUACUUUGAAAUAUUUGGAAAUGGAAAAUCUGUAACUAAAAGCAGACUAACUUCUGACGUCAUGUUAUAUGCUGUCUGAAUUCUGAUAAGUAUGCUUGUGACAUUGAGAUGCUAAAAUCUCACCUGUGUUUGGUACUGUUCAUAUUGUAGAUCCCAUGUUCAGAUUACUCUUAUAAGAAAAUCAUAGAAGCAAAUUGUAAACAUGAAAUUGAGUUCUAUUGAAAGAGCAGAAGUUUUCUGGUUUCUCUGACCUUCUCAAUUUGUACUUGGUGGUUAAAUGGCCUAUCAACUAUAUCAUAAACGAACGUGCCCUACUAAGAGAACUCUUCAAGCACUUGCAAACAAAGGAGCAGAAAGAUUGGAUAGAUGAUAAGUCGGGCAUUUCAUACGCGAAUCUAUCAAUAUUUGAUG